CAUAUACUCCCUCCGUCCCUAAAUACUUGUCUUUCUAGGCAUUUCAACAAAUGACUAUAUACGGAGCAAAAUGAGUGAAUCUACAUUCUAAAAUAUGUCUACAUACAUCCGUAUAUAGUAGUCAUUUGAAAUGUCUAGAAAGACAAAUAUUUAGGAACGGAGGGAGUAUAUG
rfam:Triticum aestivum genome assembly, contig: Triticum_aestivum_CS42_TGACv1_scaffold_293518_4AL